CCGGAAGGCGCCGUAGCCCCACUGCUGCCUGCCCACCAUGUGACUUGGCUGACGACAGCACUGCGUGGAAGGGCCUAGAGGCUUCCGUCCUGGGCUGCUGGACAAGUGGGUGACGUUGAUCAAGGCACUGGGCUCACACGGGCCGCGCCCCGCGUGAUCUGUUGUCUCCAGGCAGGCUGCCCCACUUGGGUCGAUUCUUUGAUCCCGCUGUCCGCGGCUCCUCUGAGGUUGCCAGGAUUGAGGAAGCCACUCCGGGAGAGCCUUGGGGUUGAUGUCCUGUGGCCUACUUUCUGUCUCCAGGCUGAAAUGGGACCUUCCUCUCCCAAGCUCCCAGCCCAGGCUGUGUCUCUACACUGAGACAAGACACCUUUCAGCUAGCCAUCUUAAAUCUACACGGCAGCUUCCUGAGGUGCUAGCUGCAUUCCUGGCCUGGAAGCAAUGAGCCCGUCCUACCCCUGUGUCACUCUGGAUGGUUUUGCAGAGGUGCCUCACCUGAUCCUGGGUAGAUGACAUCACCCUACAGUUAGCAAUCAAAACAACAAACCCAUGAAGGGCAGCUACAGCACGGGUGAAGUUUGAAAAUAUGCUCAAUGAGAGAAGGCAGCUACAAAAGGACACACAUUAUUCCAGUUCUGUGAAAUUCCACAGCAGGGUCUUACAGUGUAUCCCUGGCUGCCCUGGAGCUCACAAAGUACUUCUGCCUCAGCCUCCUGAGAACGGGGAUUACAAGGGUGUGUCAGCCUUGCUGGCUCUAAAAAAUAUGAUUUAAAAAAAUCUUCCACUUAUAAUAACACAAUUAAAUAUAAUAAAAGAUUUACAAUGUUCAUUUUAAAA
ensembl:lncRNA